CAGGAUUCUGAAGCCCAGGACAAAUCUCAGCCCCACAGGAGUGUGUUAAAAAUAUGGAUUCCUGGCCUAAAAACCAGAUGGGGCGUGGAAAUCUACCUUUUAACCAGAGAAACAAUGAAAUGGAGACCAGAAAGGAUGUCCCAGAGGACCUGCUGGAGGAAAGGAAAGCCAGAGAGAGCAUCAAGGGUGGGAGGUCUUCUCAUCUGCCCUUUGCAUCAACCAUCCCAUGAUCACUGCAUGCUGGAGG